UACGAAGGGGGCUAGCGUUGUUCGGAAUUACUGGGCGUAAAGCGCACGUAGGCGGAUAUUUAAGUCAGGGGUGAAAUCCCAGAGCUCAACUCUGGAACUGCCUUUGAUACUGGGUAUCUUGAGUAUGGAAGAGGUAAGUGGAAUUGCGAGUGUAGAGGUGAAAUUCGUAGAUAUUGGGAAGAACACCGGUGGCGAAGGCGGCUCACUGGCUCAUUACUGACGCUCAGGCGCGAUAGCGUGGGGAUCAAACAGG
rnacentral:rRNA from 1 species